rnacentral:lncRNA from 1 species
UGGGAGCAGCGGCAGCAGCUUCGGCUGCUGCUUUCAGGCUGCCGCUGCAUUAGGGGCUUCCUGAGGAAGCGCGGGCGGACGACAGAGGAUGCCGAACCACUCCAGUCAUGACUGUCCAAAGUAUGAUAAUCACAUGAGAGUGCUCGUUGCUACGGAUGUCAUUUGACUCAUCAGAGAAAAUCUGUCUAAAAGAAAAUAUCCAUGUGACCAAAUCCAUUUCAUUAUUGAAUGGCUUGAUGGAUUUCCUUUACUCUGAUUCAUACCAAAGCUGUCCUUCUCAACCAAAGCAAGAAAGGAUCCUGCAUGAGUCAAUCCCAGAAUGCAAUUUUUACAUCACCAACAGGUGAAGAAAACCUCAUGAAUAGCAAUCACAGAGACUCGGAGAGCAUCACUGCAAAAUGUUUUUGAGAUUUAUCCACUUGUGAUAAGUAUCAGAAGUUGUUUCUUUUUAUUGCUAAGCUGGAACUUACUCAUCCCUGCUAUUGUAGCAGAAAAGCAGCCUUGGACAGUACAUGAAAAAAUGAAUGUGACUGUGUUUCAAUAAAACUUGAUUUACAAAAACAGGCGGGGCAGCAAGCCGAAGUUGGCCUGUGGGCUGUCGUUUGCUGACCUCUACUGUACAUCAACACUUGGUAAUGUCAGUGAU